CUCUUCGGAGUGAGUGGCAGACGGGUGAGUAACGCGUGGGAACAUGCCCAUCAGUACGGAAUAGCUCCGGGAAACUGGAAUUAAUACCGUAUACGUCCUUCGGGAGAAAGAUUUAUCGCUGAUGGAUUGGCCCGCGUUAGAUUAGCUAGUUGGUGAGGUAAAAGCUCACCAAGGCGACGAUCUAUAGCUGGUCUGAGAGGAUGAUCAGCCACACUGGGACUGAGACACGGCCCAGACUCCUACGGGAGGCAGCAGUGGGGAAUCUUGGACAAUGGGGGAAACCCUGAUCCAGCCAUGCCGCGUGAAUGAUGAAGGCCUUAGGGUUGUAAAAUUCUUUCAGCAGGGAAGAUAAUGACGGUACCUGCAGAAGAAGCCCCGGCUAACUCCGUGCCAGCAGCCGCGGUAAUACGGAGGGGGCUAGCGUUGUUCGGAAUUACUGGGCGUAAAGCGCACGUAGGCGGCUAGGAAAGUCAGAGGUGAAAGCCCAGGGCUCAACCCUGGAAUUGCCUUUGAAACUAUCUAGCUAGAGUUCGGGAGAGGUGAGUGGAAUUCCGAGUGUAGAGGUGAAAUUCGUAGAUAUUCGGAGGAACACCAGAGGCGAAGGCGACUCACUGGACCGAUACUGACGCUGAGGUGCGAAAGCGUGGGGAGCAAACA
rnacentral:rRNA from 1 species